UGCCCCAUGGCUGAGUUGGUUACAGCGUCCGACUGUUAUACGAGGGGUUUCACCCUUCAAAGCAAUCGGAAGGUCGUGAGUUCGAGCCUCACUGGGGCAG